CCGGCCCAACUCUAACAUUCACCCCUUGGUGGGCAGUAGGGCACGCUGGCUAGAUAGGGCACCGCCGUUGGAGAGCGGCAGUGCGGCUGACUGGCCGGCAGAAGGCCGCCGGUGGCGCCGGCGAUAUGUCUAGAGGUGAUGUGGUCUGAGUUCCGAUCGAGCUAAUGAUCCUCCCCGUCAAAAGCAAGAGCUUCUCCUGCCAUUCUGGAUACACGCUGAGCAAGAAUACUGUCCAAGUAAGUAGGAGUGAUGUGGUUUCGUAACCAGCGAAGAAGAAUGUUUUGCACUCAUCUAUGAUCUCGUCCAUGGCCAAGCUGAUCCGCUCUUGUUUCCCUCUAUCUGUCGCAGUGCAAUCCUUAAGCAUCAAGCCAAGCAGAUCAUUUCCAUUUCCACUCCCCUUUGACGCUAAUCGUGAUUCUAUGAUAUGCAUGAGCGUGUUCCUAAGCUUCUUUUCAAGCAUCCACUUCUGCCUAUUCCUUUCUGUAGGAAGGUAUCUGAUCUCAAAAGAACAAUGCCGGGAAUGAGUUAUCAUAUGGAUAGGCAGUCAAUGAAUUCAGUUCUUGUUGUACAUUGUAUGCUAGCAAAGCAUGAUGUAAAAAAAAAAGGUUAUGCAUGCAAAGCAUAAGGCAUAUUACUUGAAUCCUGGUAUCUGCACGUCAAGAGCACUUGCCAUGAAAUUUUCCUGGAGCUCUUUCAUCGCCUGGAAGGCUUCUAUUCCUAACUUGUAACUACUUCCGAAGGCUGUAUGGGAUAUGAUAUCUGCUGUUAACUCUUGGGCUGGUUUAUCGAACUCCAUUCGGAUUUCUCCAUGCUUGUUCUUCGAAUUCCUGGACCAUGUUUUGAGCGCAAGACGCCAUUGUUUUUGUCAUCAUCUGCAUCACGCAGCAAAGGGGGAAACAGAAACUGGAGGAGAGGCUCCGAUGGUACAUAUAAGCAAAGAAGAAAAAGCAGGAGAGUGGAGAGGCCUCAAAAGGUUCAAGGUACCGUGGCAAGGGUAACUAGCAUGCCAAACAAGCAAAGCGUCGUGAGCACCUUCCCUGAGCCUGCAACUCUGCCAAGCACUAGAAGGCGCAACACGACAGUACGGAAAAUGCUAUCAUUUCUAAGCUUCCAAAUUUGCCAAGCCACAGUGAUGAAGACCUCCACGAAAAAGGGUUUAGAGAACUCAGAUUUAGCAUGGAACAAGCGCUAAAGGAACGGACCAGGCAAAGCCCCAGAAUCCCCAGGCAGCGCCAACAUUCACGACUGAACUGGCAAUCAAAGAAGAGAUGAUCCCUCGAUUCUCUGAUGCCACUUGAACAAAGAAGGCAGGCAAGGAGGCCAUCUCAAUUGCAGUGCAGACGCUCCAGCAACCUUUGAAGAACUUGUAGGGGGGUCCAUGGAUCCCUUGCUCCCUGAGCUUCUUAGCUAUGGUGUAAGGCCUCCAUAUGAGGCGCACAAUGACGUAGUCCCAUAGCCAUGAGACAGCAAGAACUAGCAGAGGAAUCAGAGCCAGAGAAAGAGGAGAGGCCAUGGUGAAGAGAUGGACUUGUGUUGGAGGAAAGGAAGGUGCUGCAACAAAUAAAGCCCUUUGUUUGUUUGAAGAAUAUGAAGGGACUUGUACACGUCCUCAGCCAUGUAAUUUUUUUCUUAAUAUGAAGGCGGUGCGAUAUUUCAAUGUUGAAGAGGACGGUGAAUGAUGGACUCAAAAUACUUCCUUUCUUUUACAAAGAAACAAUGCAUGCAAACCAGGAAUAAAUAGUGCAGGACAAAACAAUUGUUUACACAUGAUAA